rnacentral:rRNA from 1 species
UAAUACGUAGGGUCCGAGCGUUGUCCGGAAUUAUUGGGCGUAAAGAGCUCGUAGGCGGUUGGUCGCGUCUGCUGUGAAAGCCCGAGGCUCAACCUCGGGUCUGCAGUGGGUACGGGCCGACUUGAGUGGUGUAGGGGAGACUGGAAUUCCUGGUGUAGCGGUGGAAUGCGCAGAUAUCAGGAGGAACACCGAUGGCGAAGGCAGGUCUCUGGGCACUUACUGACGCUGAGGAGCGAAAGCGUGGGGAGCGAACAGGAUUAGAUACCCUGGUAGUCCACGCCGUAAACGUUGGGCGCUAGAUGUGGGGACCUUUCCACGGUUUCCGUGUCGUAGCUAACGCAUUAAGCGCCCCGCCUGGGGAGUACGGCCGCAAGGCUA